ensembl:snRNA U6 U6 spliceosomal RNA
GUGCUCACUUUGACAGCACAUAUACUAACAUUGGAACGAUAUAGCGAAGAUUACCAUGGCCCCAGCACAAGGAUGACACACAAAUUUGUGAAGCAUUGCGUAUUUAA